CCCCAACCAGCUCACAACAGUUUAAGUUUCAGGCUAAUUCCCUGUUUUUGCUCUUCCUCUUCAGAGGCUGAAGACAGCCUGGCCUGCCUUAAAUAUCUCUCUCUCUCUCUCUCUCUCUCUCUCACUAGUCACUAGGUGAGUCAGCCUAGCUUGGGUCAGAUCUGGGUGACAGCCUGCUCACCCUCCCCACUCUAGGACGCCAGGUCUUAGACAGCUGGAAGCAGUUCAGAUUGGCACCACAGUGUCACCUCACCAGUUAAAGGGUCUCGCAGCCGGCCGGGCAGCACCAGGCCCACGGCCGCCUUGGCCACCAGGUAAAGCAUCUGCAGAGGGAAGGCCACCAGCGCGCCCAGCCACUUCCACACCAUCCUGCGCCCGGGGCCAGGCGGGGCCCCGACUACCCGGACCCAGCACACAGGAGUGGAAAAAAAAAAAAGUAAGAAGAGAGAGGAAAAAAGAAAGAAAGAAAGAAAGAAAGAAAGAAAAGCACUCCCAAACUAAUAAAUAAACCGAAUAAGAGGAGAGAGAGAGAGAGAGAGAGAGGGAGAGAGAGGCGUUCCACGUUCCACUUGGCCACUGAUGACCUCUUUCAAAGUGCAAAAGCACCGGGUCAGAAAAAAAAAAAGGUAAAUAAAUCCUCUUUGGGAAGAGGAAUACGCGUCUCCGAAGGUUGGGUCAGUGAGGGGGUGGAGGGGAAGCCGAAGGUGGAAAGUUCUAACAAGAAGUUUCUUGCCCCAGCGGUCGUUCCGGCUGGGGAAUUCUCAGGUAAUGUUUACAGGCUGACAGAGCAGUUUAGGCAGGGGAGGGAAAAAAAAAAAAAAAAAAACCAACCACACGCGCGCACCCCUGCUACAGCACUGCGGUUUCAAAGUGCAAGAUUUAAAAAAAAAAAAAUCCGG